CAUUGAUUGAUCUCAUAUUUUAGCCAGAAGCAAUAGUUUUAAGUCAAAAGUGUCUUAAUGAUGGAUUUGUUUCUUAAAACAUGCAGCUUUUGGCUUCACAAGACACGGUCUGGAGUGCUGUGGAUUAUUGUGAUGUUUUUAUCAGCUGUUUGGACUCUCAUUCUGACGGCACCCAUUCACUUGCAGAGGAUCCACUGGUGAGCAAGUGAUGUAGUGCUAAAUUUCUCCAAAUCUGUUCCUAUCAAGAAACAUAAGAAAUCAUCUACAUGUUGGAUGGCAUGAGGAUGAGUACUUUUUCAACACAUUUUUAUUUCUGAGUGAACUAUUCCUUUAAGCGCAGACAUCCGCUUAGCUAUUUUGUUCUAAUGGAAUGACAUUCAGAAGUGUGAAAUAGCUUUAGACCUUUACAGUAGUAGUAAAGAAUGUUACAACACUGACAUCUGCUGGCUCAUCGCAAAGACAUUAUUUUAUAUUCCUUUGGUAUUUCUUAUAAACCCUUGUUUCAUAUUCCUUGUUUGGAUCUGAUGUGGUAAUUGUUGUGUUCAAUCUGUUCAGUCCAAGUGUGUUACACUUAAAAUAGCCCUAAAUGUAGAUCCAGAAUAUAUUCUCAUAUUAAAUAUCAGAUUUUAUUGUGAUUAUUAAAUCCUCAUCAUACCAUGUAUUGUGCUUUCAGCCUGGACUUGGAUUUAAUCUGCUUUGGACUGUGUACUUUACAAAAUGCACGUAAAGCGUGUUUUGAAGAUCUCACUGACCUGUGGACACUAGAUGCUAGAACGGCUGUUGUCACAUCUGCACUGAAGCCUGUUGCCCAUUUCCAGCAACUGCACUAUCCAUGUUUCCAUUUAAAGCACUUUUACUGAAUGUCCAUCUCUAGUAGCACUGCAGGUGCUGAUAUUCAGACCAAAGGCAUGAUUGUGAAUGGGAUGUUCUUCAAUAAACAAUUAGUUAAUAGACCAUGUUUUCCCCUCUGAAAUGUAAGCUACUGUUGUUAAUAAAUAGUUCCAUAAGUUGUCAGAGCAUCAAGUGUU
rnacentral:lncRNA from 1 species